UACGGAGGGGGCUAGCGUUGUUCGGAAUACUGGGCGUAAAGCGCGCGUAGGCGGACCUGCAAGUCGGGGGGUGAAAGCCCGAGGCUCAACCUCGGAACUGCCUUCGAUACUGCGGGUCUCGAGUCCGGGAGAGGUGAGUGGGAAUUCCUAGUGUAGAGGUGAAAUUCGUAGAUAUUAGGAAGAACACCAGUGGCGAAGGCGGCUCACUGGCCCGGUACUGGACGCUGAGGC
rnacentral:rRNA from 1 species